CGGACUAAAAUCGGGAGGAUACAGAGAAGAUUAGCAUGGCCCCUGGGCAAGGAUGACACACUAAAUUAUCAAACAAAACAAGGUACU
rnacentral:snRNA from 14 species